GCUCCCACACUGACUGACUGCCUCUCUGCACUAGCUGGCUCCCACAAUGACUGUCUCUCUGCACUAGCUGUCUCCUACCAUGACUGACUGUCUCUCUACACUAGCUGUCUCCCACCAUGACUGACUGUCUCUCUACACUAGCUGGCUUCCACCCUGACUGAGGGUCUAAUUGCACAUGGUGCCCAAACUGACUAACUGCCUCUCUGCACUAGCUGGCUUCCACCCUGACUGACGGUCUCAUUGCACAUGGUGCCCACUCUGACUCUCUCUCUGCACCAGCUGACACCCACACUUGCUGGCUGUCUCUCUGCACUACCUGGCACCCUGACCGUCUCUCUCUUACCAUUACCUGGUCCUCAACUUCACUGGCUGUCUCUCUGCACUAGCAGGCACCCACCAUGACUGUCUGUGUGUCAGCACUAGCUGUCACUCUGCCUUGCUGGCACCCACCAUAACUGUCUGUGUGUCAGCACUAGCUGGGACCAUGACUAGCUGUCUCUCUGCCUUGCUGGCACCCACCAUGACUGUCUGUCAGCACUAGCUGGGACCAUGACUAGCUGUCUCUCUGCCUUGCUGGCACCCACCAUGACUGUCUGUCAGUACUAGCUGGGACCAUGACUAGCUGUCUCUAUGCCUAGCUGGCACCCACCAUCACUGUCUGUGUGUCAGCACUAGCUGGAACCAUGACUAGCUGUCUCUCUGCACUAGCUGGUACCCACCAUGACUGUCUGUCUGUCAGCACUAGCUGGGACCAUGACUAGCUGUCUCUCUGCAUUAGCAGGCACCCACCAUGAUUGUCUGUGUGUCAGCACUAGCUAGGACCAUGACUAGCUG